GAUGAACGCUAGCGACAGGCUUAACACAUGCAAGUCGAGGGGCAGCGGGGGAGCAGCAAUGCUCCCGCCGGCGACCGGCGCACGGGUGAGUAACACGUAUGGAACCUGCCCGCAGCAGGGGGAUAAGCGGAAGAAAUUCCGUCUAAUACCGCGUAACACCGCGGAGGGGCAUCCCUCGGCGGUUAAAGAUUCAUCGGCUGCGGAUGGCCAUGCGGCGCAUUAGCUAGUCGGCGGGGUAACGGCCCACCGAGGCGACGAUGCGUAGGGGUUCUGAGAGGAAGGUCCCCCACACUGGUACUGAGACACGGACCAG
rnacentral:rRNA from 1 species